rnacentral:rRNA from 1 species
UCCGGUGACCGUAGCGCGGGGGAAACACCCGUUCCCAUUCCGAACACGGCAGUUAAGCCCCGCAGCGCCGAUGGUACUGCACCGGUGACGGUGUGGGAGAGUAGGUCGUUGCCGGGA